GAUCCGGUGGCCUAGAGGUUAAAGUGUCCGCCUCGGAUGCGGGUUGUCGCGGGUUCGAACCCCGGCCGACUCU